GGAGAUGUCUGUGGAACGAGCGGCGGACGGGUGAGUAACACGUGGGCAACCUGCCUGUAAGACUGGGAUAACUCCGGGAAACCGGGGCUAAUACCGGAUAACUCAACGAACCGCAUGGUUCGGUGUUAAAAGAUGGCUUCUGCUAUUACUUACAGAUGGGCCCGCGGCGCAUUAGCUAGUUGGUGAGGUAACGGCUCACCAAGGCCACGAUGCGUAGCCGACCUGAGAGGGUGAUCGGCCACACUGGGACUGAGACACGGCCCAGACUCCUACGGGAGGCAGCAGUAGGGAAUCAUCCGCAAUGGACGAAAGUCUGACGGUGCAACGCCGCGUGAGUGAUGAAGGUUUUCGGAUCGUAAAACUCUGUUGUUAGGGAAGAACACGUGCUGUUCGAAUAGGGCAGUGCCUUGACGGUACCUAACCAGAAAGCCACGGCUAACUACGUGCCAGCAGCCGCGGUAAUACGUAGGUGGCAAGCGUUGUCCGGAAUUAUUGGGCGUAAAGCGCGCGCAGGCGGUUUCUUAAGUCUGAUGUGAAAGGCCACAGCUCAACUGUGGAGGGCCAUUGGAAACUGGGGAACUUGAGUACAGAAGAGGAGAGCGGAAUUCCACGUGUAGCGGUGAAAUGCGUAAUAUGUGGAGGAACACCAGUGGCGAAGGCGGCUCUCUGGUCUGUGACUGACGCUGAGGCGCGAAAGCAUGGGUAGCGAACAGGAUUAAUACCCUGGUAGUCCAUGCCGUAAACGAUGAGUGCU
rnacentral:rRNA from 1 species